UUACGGCCAUAACACGUUGAAACACUGAUUCCCAUACAAUCACCGAAGUAACGUUGAGCCUGUUCAGUACCUAGAUGGGUGACCGUUUUGGAAUAACAAGUGUUGUAAG